GACGAACGCUGGCGGCGUGCUUAACACAUGCAAGUCGAACGGUGAAGCGCCUUCCUUUUUGGUGGGUGUGGAUGAGUGGCGAACGGGUGGGUAACACGUGAGUAACCUGCCCCCUUCUUCUGGAUAACCGCAUGAAAGUGUGGCUAAUACGGGAUAUUCUGGGUCUGUCGCAUGAUGGGUCUGGGAAAGAUAUUGUUUCGGUGGGGGAUGGGCUCGCGGCCUAUCAGCUUGUUGGUGGGGUGAUGGCCUACCAAGGCGGUGACGGGUAGCCGGCCUGAGAGGGUGGACGGUCACACUGGGACUGAGACACGGCCCAGACUCCUACGGGAGGCAGCAGUGGGGAAUAAUGCACAAUGGGCGCAAGCCUGAUGCAGCGACGCCGCGUGAGGGAUGGAGGCCUUCGGGUUGUGAACCUCUUUCGCCAGUGAAGCAGGCCUGCCUCGUUUGUGGGUGGGUUGACGGUAGCUGGAUAAGAAGCGCCGGCUAACUACGUG
rnacentral:rRNA from 1 species